UGGCUCAGAUGGUAAAGCGUCUGCCUACAAUGCAGAAGACCCAGGUUCGAGCCCUGG
rnacentral:tRNA from 1 species